rnacentral:rRNA from 1 species
UACGUAGGGGGCAAGCGUUGUCCGGAAUCAUUGGGCGUAAAGAGCGUGUAGGCGGCUUGGUAAGUCCGCUGUGAAAGUCCAGGGCUCAACCCUGGAAUGCCGGUGGAAACUGUCAAGCUUGAGUCCGGAAGAGGCGAGUGGAAUCCUGGUGUAGCGGUGAAAUGCGCAGGAUAUCAGGAGGAACACCAUGGCGAAGGCAGCUCAGCGGGACG